GACGAACGCUGGCGGCGUGCCUAAUACAUGCAAGUCGAACGAAGUGGCGAACGGGUGAGUAACGCGUAAUCAACCUGCCCUUCAGAGGGGGACAACAGUUGGAAACGACUGCUAAUACCGCAUACUGAAGGAGGGGAUUGCGUCUGAUUAGCUAGUUGGAGGGGUAACGGCCCACCAAGGCGAUGAUCAGUAGCCGGGCUGGGGGGAAGGAUGGGCACAUUGGGACUGGGACAAGGGCCAGACUCCUACGGGGGGCAGCAGUGGGGGAACUUCCGAAAUGGAGGGAAGGCCGAAGGAGCAACGCCGCGUGAGUGAGGACGGCCUUCGGGUUGUAAAGCUCUGUUAAGCGGGACGCGGUACCGGAAUAGAAAGCCACGGCUAACUACGUGCCAGCAGCCGCGGUAAUAC
rnacentral:rRNA from 1 species